ACACUUUUGUUGGAGCCUGAAUGCAAGAGCCAUUCUCACUGGGAUGCCACAGCUCUGGAGACUUCUUAUAGAUGUUGUUUGGAACACUCCAGGCUUGGAGAUGGGCCUUUAGACACUGCCUGUAGUACUGCUUAGCAACAGCUCUACAGACAUAAAGAGAUUGCAGUGGCUGCUCCUUCCUGGCUCCACCAUUCAGCAAGAGCUCCACAGAGGAUGAAGAGAUCCUCCUAGCUUGGCGGAAUACUCUGCUCUGAUGGAAGUACCAUCCUGGUCCAAACAUGAAAGAAUUCCCAACAUCAAGAUUGAUUGAAACAUAUUCAAUGGAUCAUUUGCUCCAGAAGAAGCUGGUUGCCAUGUCUUGAGGACAGUAAACCCUCUGGGGAGGUUCCUGUGGUAAGGAACAAGGGCUCCUGGCAAUAGCCUCUGAGUGAGCCACCUUGAAAAUGGAUUGUCCAGCCCCAGUCAAGCUUUCAGAUGACUGUAGCUCCUGCCAAUGUCUUCACCACAACCUCAUGAGAUCCCAAGCUACAACCACUCAGUUAAGUUAUGCCAAAAUUCCUGAUUCACAGAAAUUGACAUACAGGAGAGGUCACAGUUAAGAUCUUGAUGUUCUAUCUUGACCCAUAAUAUAGGAACUUCAUCUUUUGGGAAGCACCAGGGAGAGCUGCCUGUGCCUGGCAGAAGCUGCCCAUGCCCCACUGAUACCCCACAGUACUUCCUGUUCUGCUUAGUACUCCUGCUUCUUUCUACAAACAACUGUGAUUCUCUACCUGGGAGCUUCCUCUGGCCACAGGAGCCUGCUCACCUGAUUGGGACACCCUAGCAGUACUGGUGAUAGAUGCCUGCAUUGACUUUCUUCCCUGCUGUGCCUUUCUUUCCAUUCCCCUGCCAGUGCUUCCUGGAAUCAUCUCCCUCAUCAAUCAUUUGUUCCUAAAUUCUGUCUGAGUCUUUACCAAAAUCAUAGACUUACUGUAAAAUGAUUUUUCAAUUAGUAACUUUUCACCAUAACUUUUUUGGGGUAAUUUAUACCACUUUUUCGAUGACUCUUCUUGUUUAUGCUUUCACCUGAAAACAUACAAACUAAAUAUAAUCUAAAAAUAAUAUUUUUUAUUUUAGACAAGAACACACUCAGAAAUUUUCUCAACACAGUUUCUAUGCAGAGAAGAGAUGUGGGACAGAUUUGAACUGCUGUCAUAUUUGUAUGAACCCAAGACAUUUUCCAAGACCAAGAGGGAUAAAGACAGCAAUUUCUAUGACUGGCAUUUUACGUGCAUGCACUGUUUCCAAGUGUUCUUGUGUUCUGUGCCUUAAACAUUCUGUGUUGCAACUUUAUGAAUUGAAUUAAAGAUAAUCCCAAGCCCCCAAUUGUCUCAAAAAGUGAAAAAGUAAAUGUUAUAGAAAGAAAAGCGGGAAAAACUUUAAGCAUGAAAUAAAAGAUGGGUUGUGAUAAAAGAGGACUGAAGAAGGAAAAGGAAUGAAAGGUUCUGCCAUCCUUCAUGGCAGCCCACUCCACUUGGUAUGAGAUACUGCUCCCUUGGCUGAAAGUUAACUGCUGUACUCCCUCCACUUUCUAUAAAUGACUCCCUGUGCCUUUCCUUCACCACACAACUCACACUCUCUUCCUUCCUAGUGAGUCCACUAAGGCUUCACUGCAUUAUUACAUUUAUUUCAUUUAGGAAAAACUGACUUUAUUUUCCUUCAAAUUGUUUUUUAUUGUUUAUAUGAGCUUGGUUUUAUUGUCAUUCUAUUUUUCUCCAUGAAAAUAGAGAAAAAUAGGGUCGAAAGGUUAGGUUGGGUGGAAAGGAAUUAUAUUUUUUCUCACUAAAAUUGAUGUAAAUAUCGUUUUCAAUUGAAUGAUUUUACACAGUGGCACAGUUUCAGGUAUGUUGCUAAGCAGGAAAGUUGUUAACCAAAGCAUGAAUGUAUUAAGGAGAUGUAUGCAGAAUGACAUGCAAGGUUAUCUAUGAUUGCUGAGUGAGAAAGAGCAAGUUGCUGAGUAUUAUAUAAGUAUGAUCUCACUUUUGU
ensembl:lncRNA STXBP5-AS1 STXBP5 antisense RNA 1